AACGAACGCUGGCGGCAGGCCUAACACAUGCAAGUCGAACGGGUGUAGCAAUACAUCAGUGGCAGACGGGUGAGUAACGCGUGGGAAUCUCCCCAGAGGUACGGAACAACUCAGGGAAACUUGAGCUAAUACCGUAUGUGCCCGAGAGGGCGAAAGAAUUCAUCGCCUUUGGUAUGAGCCCGCCGUUGGAUUAGCUAGUUGGUGGGGUAACGGGCCUACCAAGGCUACGAUCCANAGCUGAUCUGAGAGGAUGAUCAGCCACACUGGGACUGAGACACGGCCCAGACUCCUACGGGAGGCAGCAGUGGGGAAUCUUGGACAAUGGGCGCAAGCCUGAUCCAGCCAUGCCGCGUGAGUGAAGAAGGCCUUAGGGUUGUAAAGCUCUUUACCCGGGAA
rnacentral:rRNA from 1 species